rnacentral:rRNA from 1 species
UGGGGAAUAUUGCACAAUGGGCGCAAGCCUGAUGCAGCCAUGCCGCGUGUAUGAAGAAGGCCUUCGGGUUGUAAAGUACUUUCAGCGAGGAGGAAGGCAAUGCGGUUAAUAACCGUGUUGAUUGACGUUACUCGCAGAAGAAGCACCGGCUAACUCCGUGCCAGCAGCCGCGGUAAUACGGAGGGUGCAAGCGUUAAUCGGAAUUACUGGGCGUAAAGCGCACGCAGGCGGUCUGUCAAGUCGGAUGUGAAAUCCCCGGGCUCAACCUGGGAACUGCAUUCGAAACUGGCAGGCUUGAGUCUUGUAGAGGGG